rnacentral:rRNA from 1 species
AUUGAACGCUGGCGGCAGGCCUAACACAUGCAAGUCGAGCGGAUGAGUGGAGCUUGCUCCAUGAUUCAGCGGCGGACGGGUGAGUAAUGCCUAGGAAUCUGCCUGGUAGUGGUGGACAACGUUUCGAAAGGAACGCUAAUACCGCAUACGUCCUACGGGAGAAAGUGGGGGAUCUUCGGACCUCACGCUAUCAGAUGAGCCUAGGUCGGAUUAGCUAGUUGGUGAGGUAAAGGCUCACAAAGGCGACGAUCCGUAACUGGUCUGAGAGGAUGAUCAGUCACACUGGAACUGAGACACGGUCCAGACUCCUACGGGAGGCAGCAGUGGGGAAUAUUGGACAAUGGGCGAAAGCCUGAUCCAGCCAUGCCGCGUGUGUGAAGAAGGUCUUCGGAUUGUAAAGCACUUUAAGUUGGGAGGAAGGGCAGUAAGUUAAUACCUUGCUGUUUUGACGUUACCAACAGAAUAAGCACCGGCUAACUUCGUGCCAGCCGCCGCCGUAAAAC